AACUUUUAACUGCUUAGGUUAAUCUGUUACCACCAUUUAUACCAUUUCCUCCCACUACUUACCGUUAGGAAAAAUCUUAGUGCUCCCGUAAUUUUCUCUUUGAAUAUUUGUGAGUCACAAGAAUUUGAAAUUCAUCGAAGCGCAGCAAAUCAAUAAUAAUGUCAUAUAUAUUCCAUAUCGCGUAUAAUAUCUUGCACAAACUUAUUUUUGGACGCGACAUUAUUCUUACCAUCUAUUCAUCUGUUGUCCCAUUACUCCACAAUCUCUUCAAGUGGGUUGCAAUUGUUAGCCAGAUAACGCAAAGUGCUAACAACCCAAGGGUCCAAAGAAUGGUUCAGCUAAAUUUAGCAGCCGAUACUGCACCUAAGCCAAUGUUUGGUCUUACAGUCUCAUUCAGAAAAUAUAUUAUCUUCCGCAACAGCUGAAGGAAUUCAAAGAGUUUGAUUAUUUGGUCUCCUUCAGUUAGAUGAUAUCAUCAUAAAUUUGUUUCUGUAUUCUCAUGUUGUUUGCUCAGCCAUUUUGUAUUCUCUUUUAAGUCUGCAACAUAUAUACUAUAUCCAUUAUUGACUGGGUAUGAUGGGGUUUUGUAUUACUAAAGAUUCUGAUUACAAGACUGUUUGAAUGAUUAUUUGAGAGAUUAAAUGCUUAUUAACACCAAAAGCUAAUGUCACUCUGAAGGCUGCUGUGCUGCUGACAUCUUCAAGAAGUUCCAAACAUACUGAGUUGGAUUUAGUGACUGCUGGUUAUGUUACAUCAGCAUUGUUCCUUCUCAUUUGCAGGUGGUAGAUAUCUUUACUAAAGGGCUUGCUUCACCGGUUUUCUGUGGUCUUCAGUCCAAGCUUAUGCAUCCUACUUCCGCUUAGCUUGAGGGGGAGUAUUAUUAACUGAAGAUUUCUCUUCUUUUCUGUUGUUUUAAAUCUGUACAUUCAAUUGUGUGUUUGCUCAGUUUGUUAAGAGUCUGUUGAAGUUUGUUGUAAUGGUCAUCUGUUCUCUUGUCCUUUCUUUUGGUGACUCCCGUCUCUUAUAAAAGCUAAAUCGAGUCCAGUAUUUUGAUAUCCAAUUUCAUGUUGAUAAAACUCUCUCAGCAAC